rnacentral:rRNA from 1 species
UACGGGGGGAGCAAGCGUUGUUCGGAUUUACUGGGCGUAAAGGGCGCGUAGGCGGUACCAUAAGUCAGGUGGGAAAGCCCUGGGCUUAACCUAGGAGGUGCAUUUGAUACUGUGGAACUAGAGAUCGGGAGAGGAAAGUGGAAUUACGAGUGGAGAGGUGAAAUUCGUAGAUAUUCGUAAGAACACCAGUGGCGAAGGCGACUUUCUGGCCCGAUACUGACGCUAAGGCGCGAAAGCGUGGGGAGCAAACAGG